rnacentral:rRNA from 1 species
AUACGUAGGGGGCAAGCGUUGUCCGGAUUUACUGGGUAUAAAGGGAGCGCAGGCGGAUUCGUAAGUCAGGGGUGAAAUCCUACAGCUUAACUGUAGAACUGCCUUUGAUACUGCGAGUCUUGAGAUCGGAAGAGAGAGAUGGAAUUCCAGGUGUAGUGGUGAAAUACGUAGAUAUCUGGAAGAACACCAAUGGCGAAGGCAGUCUCUUGGUCCGUAUCUGACGCUGAGGCUCGAAAGCGUGAGGAGCAAACAGGAUUAGAAACCCCGGUAGUCC